UCUGAACUAGGAAGGACCAUAUCAGAUUACUAAAGAAAUUCAUCCAAAAAUCUAUUGAAUUGAAAAUCUAGAUGGCAUAACCAUCCCAAGGACAUGGAAUGCUAAAAAUCUUAGAAUGUAUUAUUAAUGAAAUCUUUUUAAAAAAGCACUCAACUUUUGUCCCAAUAAAGAUAAAGUCCUAGUCAGAGUUUCUAUUAAAGAAUUCUUCUUCAUCCAAAUCAGAUCAGUAAAAAUCGAUCAAACGAGGAUGAUUAUAAGAAGAAAAUCAUGGUAUCCAAAUGAGGUCGGAAAAAGUCAGUUAACUCCAUGAAAAUCCCGAUCAAACUAGGACAACCCGAUGUAGGACAUCCGAUCUUCGGAUUGGACUUCACCAAAGAAUAUGAGACAUCCGAUCUUCGGAUUAGAUCUCACCA
rnacentral:lncRNA from 1 species